rnacentral:rRNA from 1 species
GACGAACGCUGGCGGCGUGCCUAAUACAUGCAAGUCGAGCGGACGAAUCGAAAGCUUGCUUUUGAUUCGUUAGCGGCGGACGGGUGAGUAACACGUGGGCAACCUGCACUGUAGACGGGGAUAACACCGAGAAAUCGGUGCUAAUACCGGAUAACACGAAAUGUCGCAUGGCGUUUCGUUGAAAGACGGCGCAAGCUGCCGCUACAGGAUGGGCCCGCGGCGCAUUAGCUAGUUGGUGAGGUAACGGCUCACCAAGGCGACGAUACGUAGCCGACCUGAGAGGGUGAUCGGCCACACUGGGACUGAGACACGGCCCAGACUCCUACGGGAGGCAGCAGUAGGGAAUCUUCCGCAAUGGACGAAAGUCUGACGGAGCAACGCCGCGUGAGCGAAGAAGGCCUUCGGGUCGUAAAGCUCUGUUGUUAGGGAAGAACAAGUAACGCAGUAACUGGCGUUACCGUGACGUUACCUAACGAGAAAGCCACGGCUAACUACGUG